UAACAGGUUGAUAUUCCUGUACCACCUAUAAUCGUUUUAAUCGAUGGGGGGACGCAGUAGGAUAGGCGAAGCGUGCGAUUGGAUUGCACGUCUAAGCAGUAAGGCUGAGUAUUAGGCAAAUCCGGUACUCGUUAAGGCUGAGCUGUGAUGGGGAGAAGACAUUGUGUCUUCGAGUCGUUGAUUUCACACUGCCGAGAAAAGCCUCUAGAUAGAAAAUAGGUGCCCGUACCGCAAACCGACACAGGUAGUCAAGAUGAGAAUUCUAAGGUGAGCGAGCGAACUCUCGUUAAGGAACUCGGCAAAAUGACCCCGUAACUUCGGGAGAAGGGGUGCUCUUUAGGGUUAACGCCCAGAAGAGCCGCAGUGAAUAGGCCCAAGCGACUGUUUAUCAAAAACACAGGUCUCUGCUAAACCGUAAGGUGAUGUAUAGGGGCUGACGCCUGCCCGGUGCUGGAAGGUUAAGAGGAGUGGUUAGCUUCUGCGAAGCUACGAAUCGAAGCCCCAGUAAACGGCGGCCGUAACUAUAACGGUCCUAAGGUAGCGAAAUUCCUUGUCGGGUAAGUUCCGACCCGCACGAAAGGCGUAACGAUUUGGGCACUGUCUCAACGAGAGACUCGGUGAAAUCAUAGUACCUGUGAAGAUGCAGGUUACCCGCGACAGGACGGAAAGACCCCGUGGAGCUUUACUGUAGCCUGAUAUUGAAAUUCGGCACAGCUUGUACAGGAUAGGUAGGAGCCUUUGAAACGUGAGCGCUAGCUUACGUGGAGGCGCUGGUGGGAUACUACCCUAGCUG
rnacentral:rRNA from 1 species